rnacentral:rRNA from 1 species
UGCAAGUCGAACGGACGUUUCUAUGGAAGACUUGCUUCCACUGAGAAGAGUAGUGGCGAAACGGGUGAGUAACACGUGGGUAACCCUGCCCCAGUAAGAGGGGGGAGUAACAAUCCGGAAACGGGUAGCUAAUACCGCAUAGUUUUCUUGAUUGCAUGAUUGAGAAAGGAAAGACGGCCUUUGUGCUAUCGCUUAUGGAUGGACCCGCGGCGUAUUAGUUAGUUGGUGAGGUAACGGCUCACCAAGACGAUGAUACGUAGCCGACCUGAGAGGGUGAUCGGCCACAUUGGGACUGAGACACGGCCCAAACUCCUACGGGAGGCAGCAGUAGGGAAUCUUCCGCAAUGGACGAAAGUCUGACGGAGCAACGCCGCGUGAGUGAAAGAAGGUUUUCGGAUCGUAAAACCCUGUUGUCAGAGAAGAACAAGUUGGAGAGUAACUGCUCCAGCCUUGACGGUAUCUGACCAGAAAGCCACGGCUAACUACGUGCCAGCCGCUGC